rnacentral:rRNA from 1 species
UACGUAGGGUGCGAGCGUUGUCCGGAAUUACUGGGCGUAAAGAGCUCGUAGGCGGUCUGUCGCGUCGGAUGUGAAAGCCCGGGGCUUAACUCCGGGUCUGCAUUCGAUACGGGCAGACUAGAGUGUGGUAGGGGAGAGUCGGAAUUCCUGGUGUAGCGGUGAAAUGCGCAGAUAUCAGGAGGAACACCGGUGGCGAAGGCGGCUUCCUGGCCUGUUCUUGACGCUGAGGCGCGAAAGCUAGGGUAGCAAACGGG